rnacentral:rRNA from 1 species
GUCCUACGGGAGGCAGCAGUCGGGAAUAUUGCGCAAUGGAGGAAACUCUGACGCAGUGACGCCGCGUAUAGGAAGAAGGUUUUUGGAUUGUAAACUAUUGUCGAUAGGGAAGAAAAAAGACUGUACCUAUCAAGAAAGCUCCGGCUAACUACGUGCCAGCAGCCGCGGUAAUACGUAGGGAGCAAGCGUUAUCCGGAUUUAUUGGGUUUAAAGGGUGCGUAGGCGGGCUGUUAAGUCAGCGGUAAAAGCCCGUGGCUCAACCCCGGCGAGCCGUUGAAACUGGCUGUCUUGAGACGUCGAGAGGU